rnacentral:rRNA from 1 species
CAGCCGUAAACUAUGCUCGCUAGGUGUCAGGCAUGGCGCGACCGUGUCUGGUGCCGCAGGGAAGCCGUGAAGCGAGCCACCUGGGAAGUACGGCCGCAAGGCUGAAACUUAAAGGAAUUGGCGGGGGAGCACAACAACGGGUGUAGCCUGCGGUUUAAUUGGACUCAACGCCGGACAACUCACCGGGGACGACAGCAAUAUGUAGGCCAGGCUGAAGACCUUGCCUGAAUCGCUGAGAGGAGGUGCAUGGCGUAGACGUCU